UGUUCGGAUUUAUUGGGCGUAAAGGGUGCGUAGGCGGCGGAGUAAGUUGGGUGUGAAAUCCCGGGGCUUAACCUCGGAAUUGCAUUCAAUACUGCUUCGCUUGAGUACUGGAGAGGAGGCUGGAAUUUACGGUGUAGCAGUGAAAUGCGUAGAUAUCGUAAGGAAGGCCGGUGGCGAAAGCGAGACUCUGGACAGUUACUGACGCUGAUGCACGAAGGCCAGGGGAGCAAACGGG
rnacentral:rRNA from 1 species